GCAAGUCGAACGGAGUAGCAAUACUUAGUGGCAGACGGGUGAGUAACAUGUGGGUAUCUUCCCUUUGGUGAGGAAUAACACGAGGAAACUUGUGCUAAUACCUCAUAAGUCUUUACGGAGAAAGCUUUAUGCGCCAAUGGAUGAGCCCGCACUUGAUUAGUUUGUUGGUGGGGUAAUGGCCUACCAAGACUUUGAUCAAUAGCUGAUUUGAGAGGAUGAUCAGCCACAUUGGGACUGAGACACGGCCCAAACUCCUACGGGAGGCAGCAGUAGGGAAUCUUGCACAAUGGAGGAAACUCUGAUGCAGCGAUGCCGCGUGAGUGAAGAAGGCCUUUGGGUUGUAAAGCUCUUUCGUCGGGGAAGAAAAUGACUGUACCCGAAUAAGAAGGUCCGGCUAACUUCGUGCCAGCAGCCGCGGUAAUACGAAGGGACCUAGCGUAGUUCGGAAUUACUGGGCUUAAAGAGUUCGUAGGUGGUUAAAAAAGUUGGUGGUGAAAUCCCAGAGCUUAACUCUGGAACUGCCAUCAAAACUUUUUAGCUAGAGUAUGAUAGAGGAAAGCAGAAUUUCUAGUGUAGAGGUGAAAUUCGUAGAUAUUAGAAAGAAUACCAAUUGCGAAGGCAGCUUUCUGGAUCAUUACUGACACUGAGGAACGAAAGCAUGGGUAGCGAAGAGGAUUAGAUACCCUCGUAGUCCAUGCCGUAAACGAUGUGUGUUAGAUGUUGGAAAUUUAUUUUCAGUAUCGCAGCGAAAGCAAUAAACACACCGCCUGGGGAGUACGACCGCAAGGUUAAAACUCAAAUGAAUUGACGGGGACUCGCACAAGUAGUGGAGCAUGUGGUUUAAUUCGAAGAUACGCGCAGACCUUACCAACACUUGACAUGUUCGUUUCGACUCUAGAGAUUAGAGUUUUCGGGUUCGGCCGGACGAAACACA
rnacentral:rRNA from 1 species